UACGUAGGGUGCGAGCGUUAAUCGGAAUUACUGGGCGUAAAGCGUGCGCAGGCGGUUCUGAAAGUCAGCUGUGAAAGCCCCGGGCUUAACCUGGGAACUGCGGUUGAAACUACAGGACUAGAAUCUGGCAGAGGGGGGUGGAAUUCCACGUGUAGCAGUGAAAUGCGUAGAGAUGUGGAGGAACACCGAUGGCGAAGGCAGCCCCCUGGGCUGAGAUUGACGCUGAGGCACGAAAGCGUGGGGAGCAAACAGG
rnacentral:rRNA from 1 species